UAUGUGAUCGUCUCUUGCAUAUCAAUAAGCGGAGGAAAAGAAACUAACAAGGAUUCCCCUAGUAACGGCGAGUGAAGCGGGAAGAGCUCAAAUUUGAAAUCUUAAAGGGUUUCCCUUUACGAAUUGUAGUUUAAAGAAGUGUUUUCUGUUGAGGUUUUGGUAAAAGUUCUUUGGAAUAGGACAUCAUAGAGGGUGAGAAUCCCGUAUUUGACCUUUACUUUCAACUUUGUGAUACACUUUCAAAGAGUCGGAUUGUUUGGGAAUGCAGUCCAAAAUGGGUGGUAAAUUUCAUCCUAAAGCUAAAUAUUGGCGAGAGACCGAUAGCGAACAAGUACCGUGAGGGAAAGAUGAAAAGAACUUUGAAAAGAGAGUUAAACAGUACGUGAAAUUGUCAAAAGGGAAGCGUUUGACACCAGUGUUGUUUUUCUGAAAAUCAAUUAAAGAACUGUUUAUGCUAAGUUGUUUAGACUUUAUCAGCUAAUCUGUUUAGUUUUGAGCUUUUCUUUAAUGCACUUUUCAGUUAACAAGUCAACAUCAAUUUCUUUUGCUGUAAAAAAGCUUGAGGAAGGUGGCUUGAGAUUCGUCUUAAGUGUUUAUAGCCUCUUGCCUAUGCAGUCGGAGAGAUUGAGGUCUGCAGCGUAGAUCCUUCGGGGCUAAAUGCAUUUGUGCUAAGUUAUUAUAGCAUUUUAUAGACAACUUGUUGACUAUGAUUUGUCUUGUAGCUUACUCGCUUAUGUUAUUUUACCUACGCUUAGGAUGUUGAUCUACAGAGCGAGAGU
rnacentral:rRNA from 1 species